rnacentral:rRNA from 1 species
AUGUACGCUGGCGGCGUGGAUAAGGCAUGCAAGUCGAACGGACUUUAUUUUUCCAGAGAAUGAGAUUACAUCAAGUUCAAAGGUCGUUUAAAGUUAGUGGCGAACGAGGUAGUAAUACACAGGAAUGUACCCCUGAGUCGCGAACAACACAUCGAAAGGUGUGCUAAUACGCGAUAGUCUCUCAGGAGUAAAGUUUUUCGCUUAGGGAACAGCCUGUGAAGUAUCAGCUAGUUGGCAGUGUAAUGGACUACCAAGGCUAUGACGCUUAGGGGAGGUGAGAGCCUGACCCCCACCGAUGGGACUGAGACACGGCCCAUACACCUACGGGUGGCUGCAGUCGAGAAUCUUCCACAAUGGACGAAAGUCUGAUGGAGCGACGCCGCGUGAUUGAUGAAGCUUUUCGGAGUGUAAAGAUCUUUUAUGAGGGAAGAAGUUUAUUGACGGUACCUCAUGAAUAAGGGGCUCCUAAUCUCGU